AAAUUUGAAUCGCGCAAAUGCCAAAGUAAUAUACAAAUCAGAAAAUCUCAAUUGAAGUGAAAUCAAUGGACAAAGUCAUAUCAAAUUGGACAAUGGAAUUUCUCCUUCAAAGCUUCGUUCCCGAUUCACUCAUUGAGAAAACCCUAACCGUUCUUCCACAUUCCACCGCCGAUUCUCGCCUCAAAAUAGCACUCCUCCUCCGCACCCUUCAAACUUCCCUCCUCAACGCUUCCCUCUCCGAAACCUCUCUCGAAAUCCUCGAACACCUCGAAAGCCUUUACCACACCGAUGCUAUUCCAAUCUUGGAUUCAAUGCGCAGUGCUUACUGCGCUGUUUCGGUGGAAAGCACCGUCAAGUAUCUUAUUGCUAGUCCUGAAGGUCCCUCCGGUGAGUACUAUUCUGCUGUCCGACGGAUCUGGCAUGAAAGGGUUGAUAAAUUGUCGGAGGAGGGACGAAGGAGUGAGCUUUUGUCUGAUGAGUUGGAUCAGUGGAGGCAAGAAGUUGAAGCUGCGCUUUGGCAUGUUAGGGUUUCCGAGAGGCUUGUGGGGUUGAAUACAAGGAGAGAUGCGAUGAAUGAAAUGAAGAGGUUUUUGAAAGAAGCGUGGGAAACUAUUGGACUUUCGUAUAUUGAUUCGGUGGAGACAGUUUCUGUCGGGAAUGGUUUGCGCCAUGAAGGUGUUUGUGAAAAUGCUUCGGCUUCGGGUAGUGAAGUGUCGAAGAAGUGUGAUGGAAGGUUAGAAGGUUUGGAAAAGGAAAAAAUGAACUCUGGUUGUCAAGAUGAGGAUGAGAAUGAGAAUGACAAUGACAACGAGGAGAAUGAGAAUAAGAAUGAGAAUGAGAAUAAGAAUGAGAAUGACAAUGAGAAGAAUGAGAAUGAGAAUGAGAAUGAGAAUGAGAAUGAGAAUAAGAAUAAGAAUGAGAAUGAGAAUGAGAAUGAGAAUGGUGAUGUGGCAACAAUGCAGGAAAAUCAUGGCAAUGAGCAAUUGGAAGAGAGAGUUGGCACUUCUUGUGAUGCAAAUCAGGAAGUGGGUGAGUGUGAUUCUUCAAAGGGAGAUAAAGAAAUCCGGAAAGACAAUCAUCAACUCAAACGCAAGCGCUCUGCAAUUCGAACAUACCAUGCGGGAGUUAGAAUCUCUGAUGCUGAAGAAGCGCCUGAGGAAGCGAAAACAACAAAUUUGUCCUGUAAAUGUGAAAACUUGCCGAGUGCUGAAGUAAAGAAAGUUCGGGAGUCCCUUAGAUCAAGUUCUAUGGAGUUAAAAGCAAUGGUCAAGGAUCCUCUUCCUGAUGCAUUGCACACAUCGGAAGCUGUAAGAUCCAAAUUGGCUACAAAAGAUAUAAAUCGCAGCCCACCCAUCGAAAACCAGAGUGGACAUGUAGAUGCACCAGAUUCAACUGCAUGCAAGACUAUUGUACUUUAUCAGCAUAAUGACGUCAAUCCUGGGAAGAAGUCUUCUGUUCAUUGUAGUAGUAGUCGUCGUCUUCGCCCCAAGCUAAUGGAACGAGGAAAUUCUGCUCAUACUUUUGAGUGGGAUGAUUCAAUAGAAAACAAACCGAACGUAAUACAGCCAAAAAAGAAGAAAAGGAGAUGGACUUCAUUGGAAGAGGAUACAUUAAGGGCUGGUGUAAAAAUGUUUGGAGAAGGAAACUGGAAAGAUAUCCGAGAAUUUUACAGCAACAUAUUUGAAUUUAGAAGUGCUGGUGAUCUGAAGGACAAGUGGAGAAAUUUGAUUCGGUGACACAACAUUGACGUGUACAUAUCCUAGGAAGUUUCAUUGAAGCACAAUUCAACUAGUGCUGUUAGUGAGGAUCAACUAGUUACCCAAAGUACAUUUUAGGACCCACUCAUAACACUAUUCCCUCAUUUCGGCAUGCUUGUAUCAAGGGCUCGUCUUAAGGUUUAUCUUUUGGCGGGAAGCUCGAAAUGGAAAGAAAUCAUACCAACUUUGACAUCUGGGAAUUGUAUCACUAAACAUAAAUGGUAUAUACACAAAUGAAACUAGUUGAUGCUGCCUUCUGUAUCUGCUUAACUUGUGCUGAUAUAUGGGAGUUUGGGACAUACCCUCUUAAACAACACCUGUUUAGAGUUUAGAUACUCCUAGUAUUCUUAUGUCCAUAAAUGUACCGAUGUAUAUAUAGGUUUAAAUUAGUUAUGUGUGUCUAGUUAAAUAAAACGUAUUUUUAGGUUUUUUUUUUUUUUUAACUUAAAGCAAAAUUAAAGUCUUUAUGUCAGUUCACUGUUAAAAGUGAGUGGGGAUCUAGGAGUAACUUUGAUGAGUUACUACGUCUAAUAACUUGUUAUAAACAAUGAAUUUUGCUGAAGCUGUUAAUGGGUAGAUCAACUUCGUUGUUUUAUUUUAA